GGCUCGGGCGCUCCGACGGCGGCAGUCCUCGCGCCCCGGGUUCCGCGGGCCAGGAGAGAGCGUGGUUUCCAACCCAGGACGGUGCUUCCUUGUGUUCCGGAAAAGGAGAUUUCUCACAUUCACUCCGUUGGAAGGAAACCCAGGGCGACCCCGAGAACACUCCCACACUUGACUGACCAGACCCCUUGCACUGCAGAGGAAGCAGACACAACUGGAAGGGACGGGAUUUAUGUUGCAUACUUGAACUACAGCGAGUGUAAGACUGGUCCUAGUUACAGGGCAGAAACACUACAGGUGCAGGGUGGGGGCGGCAGAGGGAGCACCAGAGUCCUGGCUGGAAGGUGCCAGCUUUCUGCAUCCCUCACCUCUUCCCGAGGCAUCUCCACAGCCCCGCUGGGGUUCUCCGGCAGGGAGGGGACAGGCCUUCUCACAUGAUGCUUGCCGGAGUGAAGACAGGGCCCACACACAAGGUGUCUGUGAUCUCCCAGCCACAGGACAGAGGCUUGCACACGCCCUCGACAUCCUGGUCAUCUUCUGCAGACAGCAGCUUCCCUCGAAGUGCUUCCCUGAGGAAAAGAGACAUUCGCUGAAGUCAGCCAGCAAGAAGAUAAGGUCUGGGGCUUCCGAUGGCCCCUAAGGCACAGGGCUUUCACCUGAACCCUAAGACCAGCCAAGGGCAGUGACAAGAGAGGCCUGUGACCCUUGUCUAGGUUGCUGCUUCCCCUGCCUAGCAAGGGAAAGGCACACACAUAUAUUGAGGCAUUCUGUGUAUCAGACAUUGUGCCAGGCACUUUAGCCCCAUUAUCUACAUACAUCUUCCCCAAAGCAGGAGAUCUUACCAUCCCUCUUUUCCUGUAGGAAAAAACUGAGGCUCAGAAAGACUCAACUGGCCCAGCACUCCAUCGUUAGCAGGCAGGAAGGACUAGAACUGAGCCUAGCUUGUAUUCUCCAUUCCCCAGGUUUAAGGCUUAAAAAUUACCCAUCUCCUGCUCCCAAAGUCCUAUAGACUGGUUCUUCUCCUCUGUUCCCACCCUGGGUGGGGGAAAUGUGCAAGGGUCACUUGCCAAGAAGUCUAGAGGAGCCAUGCCAGCUUGCCCUUUACUUCUGCUGGGAUCUACUUACACAGAAGACACUCCUUCGUUAAUCCAGUUCUUCCCUUCACUCUUUCCAUAUUUCAAGCAGAUUCCAUUCCCUGGUAGGAAGGCCUCCCUCUUUGUUUAGUUAUACUCAGCAAGUCGGUAGUGGGUGGGAAGCUAGCCCCUUCUUCAUGGGAGGCUCUGGGCUUAGUGUUCUCUGGCUGAAAUUUGGUCUCCUUUCCUUAAACAUAGAUUGGCCCUGUUUCUUAGCCACUGCCCCAUGGCUCUCCCACUGCCUUCAAGGCCAAGUCCAAGUCUGGGACUCCAAGGUCCUAAACCCAGUCUUCCCCACAUACUCUUGCUUACCAGUGAACAGAACUACUUGCAAUUCUAUGAUAGAAUCCUUUCAAACUACCUCACUUCUUGACCAUCCUCUUGGCCAUCCUGGGCCUCCAGGGCCUGGCUGACUCCUGAGAAGUUGCCCUAACAGCCCCUUUGCAACCCACUGUCCCUCCCUUCCCUGGGGCCCAAGAUCUGAGCCCUAGUCUGUUGGUUCAGGUCUGCACUUUGGGCUAUCACUGCCUUACAGGCUUUUGUAUCCCUUGGAAUUGAUACAAGCAGGCAUUAAAGCAGAACAUGAUGGAAGACCCUUUGAUAAGGGCGGUUUCCUGACAUGUCCACAUCAAUAUA